GUAGGUGGCAAGCGUUGUCCGGAAUUAUUGGGCGUAAAGGGCGCGCAGGCGGUUCUUUAAGUCUGAUGUGAAAGCCCACGGCUCAACCGUGGAGGGUCAUUGGAAACUGGAGAACUUGAGUACAGAAGAGGAAAGCGGAAUUCCACGUGUAGCGGUGAAAUGCGUAGAGAUGUGGAGGAACACCAGUGGCGAAGGCGGCUUUCUGGUCUGUAACUGACGCUGAGGCGCGAAAGCGUGGGGAGCAAACAGGGAUUAGAUACCCUGGUAGUCCACGCCGUAAACGAUGAGUGCUAAGUGUUAGGGGGUUUCCGCCCCCUUAGUGCUGCAGCUAACGCAUUAAGCACUCCGCCUGGGGAGUACGGCCGCAAGGCUG
rnacentral:rRNA from 1 species